GAUGAACGCUGGCGGCGUGCUUAACACAUGCAAGUCGAACGAAGCAUCCAUGAUUGAGACUUCGGUGGAUUGAUUGGAUGACUGAGUGGCGGACGGGUGAGUAACGCGUGGGCAACCUGCCUUGUACAGGGGGACAACAGUUGGAAACGACUGCUAAUACCGCAUAAGCGCACAGCUUCGCAUGAAGCAGUGUGAAAAACUCCGGUGGUACAAGAUGGGCCCGCGUUGGAUUAGCUAGUUGGUGGGGCAACGGGCCUACCAAGGCGACGAUCCAUAGCCGACCUGAGAGGGUGACCGGCCACAUUGGGACUGAGACACGGCCCCAAAACUCCUACGGGGAGGCAGCAGUGGGGAAUAUUGCACAAUGGGCGCAAGCCUGAUGCAGCGACGCCGCGUGAGCGAUGAAGUAUUUCGGUAUGUAAAGCUCUAUCAGCAGGGAAGAAAAUGACGGUACCUGACUAAGAAGACUCCGGCUAAA
rnacentral:rRNA from 1 species